AUUGUCAGUGAUGUUUAUCACAGUAAGUAUUCGAGUUUGACGACCAUGAGAAUACUUUACAUGCACUACCAUCUGAGACAUA
ensembl:snoRNA SNORD33 Small nucleolar RNA Z195/SNORD33/SNORD32 family